rnacentral:rRNA from 1 species
UACGUAGGUGGCAAGCGUUGUCCGGAAUUAUUGGGCGUAAAGCGCGCGCAGGCGGUCCUUUAAGUCUGAUGUGAAAUCCCACGGCUCAACCGUGGAAGGUCAUUGGAAACUGGGGGACUUGAGUACAGAAGAGGAAAGCGGAAUUCCAAGUGUAGCGGUGAAAUGCGUAGAGAUUUGGAGGAACACCAGUGGCGAAGGCGGCUGUCUGGGGUAGUGCUGACGCUGAGGCACGAAAGCCAGGGGAGCGAACGGG